rnacentral:rRNA from 1 species
GAUGAACGCUGGCGGCGUGCCUAAUACAUGCAAGUCGAGCGAACAGGCGAGGAGCUUGCUCCUCUGACGUUAGCGGCGGACGGGUGAGUAACACGUGGAUAACCUACCUAUAAGACUGGGAUAACUUCGGGAAACCGGAGCUAAUACCGGAUAAUAUAUUGAACCGCAUGGUUCAAUAGUGGAAGACGGUUUUGCUGUCACUUAUAGAUGGAUCCGCGCCGCAUUAGCUAGUUGGUAAGGUAACGGCUUACCAAGGCAACGAUGCGUAGCCGACCUGAGAGGGUGAUCGGCCACACUGGAACUGAGACACGGUCCAGACUCCUACGGGAGGCAGCAGUAGGGAAUCUUCCGCAAUGGGCGAAAGCCUGACGGAGCAACGCCGCGUGAGUGAUGAAGGUCUUCGGAUCGUAAAACUCUGUUAUUAGGGAAGAACAAAUGUGUAAGUAACUAUGCACGUCUUGACGGUACCUAAUCAGAAAGCCACGGCUAACUACGU